rnacentral:rRNA from 1 species
AUGCGUCUCAUGUCUUACUUUGUGACAGCAGUUGGUCGCAUUUCAGUGACAGUCAAUUCAACCUUGAACAAGCAUCUAAAUAGCAGGUCUUCUUUGGUUGGAAGCACCACAUCUCAUCUGUGUUGCUGCAAAAGCUUUUCAUUUUGGACCAAGCUUAUGGGAUAUGCAUUGCAGUAUGUAUUAGUUACCAUGCUCAGUUUGUGCGACCGAUUUAAUUACUUCUCUUGCGUGGAGAAAAACACUUUAGUUGCUUCUUUUGUUUGUGUGAAGAAAGCCGUUGAGUCACUUCAAAAAUGUCCUUUUCUCCUAGCAUGUAAGAUUAUGUUAUGUGGGCGGGCCGAUUGA